GGGAGUUUCUACGGCGGAAAAAGUCAACCCCUAGUAACAAAAAGAACGACAACAAGAACGAACAAUGAUGCAAGGUAAUCUCCAGACCCGGUCGUAGUAGUCUCGACUCCCGGCAAGCUGAUGUAACGAACACCUGUCGGCUCUUGACUCCUGUUCGCAACCAAGAUAAUUUUAACGAAGUGACUGACGAAGACUUCGAGCUGCUCUCCGCUGAAAAUACUCUGACCGAGGACGAAAAAGACGAUCCAGAUUCCGGUAGGCUAAAGAUCGAGUUAACUGAUGAAGAAAAGGAAAAGGAAGCCUCCGGAUAGUAUCGAUGAAGAAGCUGUUGUCUCUUCUAUUGACAUGACCAUGCUCGGAGACUUUGAAUGUGUCAUGUGGGCUGAAGAAUGCAGCACUGCUGGCAGUUCAUUAGAAUCUUAAGUAUGGGUAGAAGCUGGAUUGUUUCCUGUUGAAGAUUUAUUCAAUUUACGUAAAAUCAACAGCGACUCAGAUGGACAUACAACUCCAAGAUUGAAUUUCGUUGAUGAGGGUAUUAUAUCCCCUGGGUUGAGGUCUUUCAGUUGCUGCUGAUAAGUAUGGCUUAUAUUGAAAAAAAUUAUGACAAAGCCAAUUACCGUGUAUACUAUUUAAUUGGUGAUGGAGAAUCAGCAAAGG